CUUAUACUGAGUCAAGAUUCUUCUUUUAAUGCAAGCAUACACAAGAUGAUAUUGCCUAGUGUUCCAUGGUAUCAAGAGCAUCUUCUUCAUCAAACAUCUCUUGGUUCCCUAAUGGUCAUAAUUCUUAUAAGGACUGUGAAGUAUAACCUAUCUAAGCUGAAGGAUCUCUAUCUCCAUACAACUUGUCUAGCGACUUUGGCUAACAUGGCUCCUCAUGUCCACCGUUUGAGUGCAUAUGCAUCACAAAGACUCGUUAGCCUUUUCUACAUGCUUUCUCGCAAGUACAACAAACUUGCAGAGAGGAUAGAUGAUAAAAUAGGAAAGAGUUUGAACAAGGCAGCUUUGCUGAAGAUUUGUCUGCUGAGUUGCAUAUUUACACCGACUUCCUGAGAAUUGUCCUCGAAAUACUGAAUGCAAUUUUGACUUAUGCGCUGCCACGCAAUCCUGAGGUUGUAUACGCUAUAAUGCACAGGCAGGAGGUUUUUCAGCCAUUCAAGAAUCAUCCACGCUUCAAUGAAUUGAUUGAAAAUAU
rnacentral:misc_RNA from 1 species